rnacentral:rRNA from 1 species
UGGGGAAUUUUGGACAAUGGGGGAAACCCUGAUCCAGCCAUCCCGCGUGUGCGAUGAAGGCCUUAGGGUUGUAAAGCACUUUUGGCAGGAAAGAAACGUCAUGGGUUAAUACCCCGUGAAACUGACGGUACCUGCAGAAUAAGCACCGGCUAACUACGUGCCAGCAGCCGCGGUAAUACGUAGGGUGCAAGCGUUAAUCGGAAUUACUGGGCGUAAAGCGUGCGCAGGCGGUUCGGAAAGAAAGAUGUGAAAUCCCAGAGCUCAACUUUGGAACUGCAUUUUUAACUACCGGGCUAGAGUGUGUCAGAGGGAGGUGGAAUUCCGCGUGUAGCAGUGAAAUGCGUAGAUAUGCAGAGGAACACCGAUGGCGAAGGCAGCCUCCUGGGAUAACACUGACGCUCAUGCACGAAGGCGUGGGGAGCAAACGGG